AAUAUAUAAAUUUAUAUUAAAAGUAGUGUUACGACAGCGGAAGUCACGUGACCCUGGUAACACGUAAUGAGUCUCUAGAAGGAUCGGGGGAAAUCACGAAUAAUCCGGUAUUUGCUAGACACCCUCUAUUUCUGUAUAUAAGCAGGUAAAUAAAGCAAGAUAAUUAACUGAAUUGCAGACAGGCAGAG